UUAAACUAACCCAAUUCACGAACUUGAGCCUCCAAUUUUAAGAUCUGGGUAUUCCAAAGUUUCAAUUGAUGUUGUUGCUGACUCAUCCAUUUUGGAACAUCUUCAAUUGACACUUAAGAUCGGCUCCUCACUGUUAACUCUUCUGUCAAUUUUGCCACCUCAACUUGUAAAACUUUGAUUUUGGACCUCAACUUCUUCAUUUUGCAUCUGGAUUGGUCAGUCAAUGCCUCUUUCUCUUUCGUCAAUAACUCUGCCUUGUCUCCUUCUGCCUGCAAUUGGCAUUUGAAUUUUUCCUGUUCCAAAUCCCAUAUCUUGUAAUUUUAGAUCAAUUUGUCUCGUUGUCCUUUCGCAAUCCAUAAGAUGUAUUCUUUUUCUUUUGUCCAAGACUCAUAUUGGUGAAUCCAUUUCCGCUCCAAUACCAGCUUGGAUUCUCCAAUUUCUUUUAUCGUCCGUUCUUGUUCUUCAAUUAUUCGAUUUUGCUCUGAUAUCACCUUCUUACUGUCCUCUAAAUCUCGUUUGCUAAUGCCCUCUUUGUCCAUACUUCUCUUUGCACUUUCAAUUACCAUGAUGCUCCCUCUCUCAAACUCUUAAUUGGAACUACUACGCUUGAAUAUCUAAGAAACACAAGAAAUGGCACUCCAA
rnacentral:lncRNA from 1 species